rnacentral:rRNA from 1 species
AUUGAACGCUGGCGGCAGGCCUAACACAUGCAAGUCGAACGGUAACAGGAAGAAGCUUGCUUCUUUGCUGACGAGUGGCGGACGGGUGAGUCAUGUCUGGGAAACUGCCUGAUGGAGGGGGAUAACUACUGGAAACGGUAGCUAAUACCGCAUAACGUCGCAAGACCAAAGAGGGGGACCUUCGGGCCUCUUGCCAUCGGAUGUGCCCAGAUGGGAUUAGCUAGUAGGUGGGGUAACGGCUCACCUAGGCGACCAGCCCUAGCUGGUCUGAGAGGAUGACCAGCCACACUGGAACUGAGACACGGUCCAGACUCCUACGGGAGGCAGCAGUGGGGAAUAUUGCACAAUGGGCGCAAGCCUGAUGCAGCCAUGCCGCGUGUAUGAAGAAGGCCUUCGGGUUGUAAAGUACUUUCAGCGGGGAGGAAGGGAGUAAAGUUAAUACCUUUGCUCAUUGACGUUACCCGCAGAAGAAGCACCGGCUAACUCCGUG